rnacentral:rRNA from 1 species
UACGUAGGGUGCGAGCGUUAAUCGGAUUUACUGGGCGUAAAGCGUGCGCAGGCGGCCCGUUAAGACAGGUGUGAAAUCCCUGGGCUCAACCUAGGAAUUGCGCUUGUGACUGGCGGGCUCGAGUACGGUAGAGGGGGGUGGAAUUCCUGGUGUAGCAGUGAAAUGCGUAGGGAUCAGGAGGAACACCGAUGGCGAAGGCAGCCCCCUGGGCCUGUACUGACGCUCAUGCACGAAAGCGUGGGGAGCAAACAGG